UACGAAGGGGGCUAGCGUUGUUCGGAUUUACUGGGCGUAAAGCGCACGUAGGCGGAUCGUUAAGUCGGGGGUGAAAUCCUGGAGCUCAACUCCAGAACUGCAUUCGAUACUGGCGAUCUUGAGUCCGGAAGAGGUGAGUGGAACUCCUAGUGUAGAGGUGGAAUUCGUAGAUAUUAGGAAGAACACCAGUGGCGAAGGCGGCUCACUGGUCCGGAACUGACGCUGAGGAGCGAAAGCGUGGGUAGCAAACAGG
rnacentral:rRNA from 1 species